rnacentral:rRNA from 1 species
UACACACCGCCCGUCAAGCCAUGAAAGCGGGGAGUGCUCGAAGUCGUCUUGUCCAACCGUAAGGGGACAGCGCCGAAAGCAAGCUUCGUGAUUAGGACU